CACUGACCUGCACAUAUGAUGACUCAGCUAACUCUCUCCACUGGUAUCGACAAAAACCUCAAUCAGAACCAGAGUUUCUGCUGCUGAUUCAGAAAUCUACAGAUUAUGUCACUAAAGCUGAACAUCAUGACCCAUGACUAUCCAUCAAACUUCGCAAAAAUAAAAAGAAAGUAGAUCUGGAGAUCUUUCCUGCUGCAGUAUCAGACUCUGCACUGUACUACUGCACCAUGGAGCCCACAGUGACACAAAACUCAAACAGACUGUACAAAAAGUCAAGCUGCAUGUUUUUCUCAGCAGGGGGAGAUGUUUACCUGUUUCAUUUAAGUACAGGACUUUCUUAAUUCUCAGACUUUGACGUUGAUUUGCUUUGAAAUCCAAUAAUGAUCGUCUUACAUAUGUUGUUAAUACUUAUUGGUUGAAUAAUCAGAAAACAAAUCCUCUAAAAAUAAAUGUUAAUCUUUAAUCAAAAAGAAUGAUUUCUGCUAAGAUUCAUGCUGUUGUUCUCCUGAUGUAAUAAUAAGUAGGUAACACAAAUUCAAUAAACAUACAUAUAUACACUACUCACAAAAAGUUAAGGAUAUUCUGCUUUCGGCUGAAAUUUCAGGAUGCACCUAAAAUGCACUAUAACCUUUACAGGUGAACUUAAUUUGACCUUCUCUACACUUUUGAUUGCACAUGUCCAACUGUUCAGUGUUUCAGUACUUUUUGCAGAACUUGCUGUUCUCUAACAAGGUGCUUAACAGCAAAAUUCACAACUGGUGUUUGAUCCAUGAAUCGACCAAUAAAUUUUCUGGUUCAGUUAGAAUUGGUAUUUAAACAGUCCUCUUCAUCAUGCUGUUCACAUUUUGACAUCAUGAGACCAAGACCACACCUAACAAUUGAUCAACAGUACCUCACCAUUGCGAGGCUUCAAACAGGAUGUUCUCAGAGGGAAGUGGCCACUGAGCUUAGAGUGUCACAGAGUGUCAUCAGCAGGUUGCGACAGAGAUACAGAGAGACUGGAAGAGUCACAGAAAGGUUUCCCAUAUGAGGCUGAAUGUAAAGCCAGGAUGUUUCAGUAAGAAUCAACAAUCUGACAACAACAUUGGUGACACUGUCAUGUGAUGCUGUGGGGUGGAGCAAUUUUGAAGCUUUAUGGUGUUAACAUAUUAGAUUACAGAAAGAUCUCCACUAUUUUCACUGAGCUAAGACCAGUCAUCAUGUUCACUGUUAUAUUCAUGUAUCUGUGGCUUUCACUAGGUGACUCCAUGGCAGAUUCAAUAGAGCCAGAUUUCCCUCAUAAAGCUGUAGAUGAAGGUGAUGAUGUUACUCUGUCCUGCACAUAUGAAACACGUGGUACAAAUUUCUACCUGCAAUGGUACAGGCAAUAUCCAAAAUCUAAACCUGAGUUCCUUCUUUAUAUUUACAAAACUGGAGCUCUAAGUGAAAAUAUUCCCCCAAGAAUGAAUGCUACACUUAAAGAUAAGAAAGUGGAUCUGAUCAUCUCCUCUGCUGCUGUAUCAGACUCUGCACUAUAUUACUGUGCUCUGGCGCCCACAGUGACAGGAAAUCCAGCUGCACUGUACAAAAACCUUCACACAGUUUUGUUAAACUCAAAGCAGUUCUGCUGGUGAUUUAGAAAAUUCAAACACUCCUAGAGGCAAUAUGUAAUUAAAUUAGAAGUGCACUAAAGACAAGGUGUGGCUCCACAUAUAUAACAUUGAACAAUAUGUAGUAUCAAAGGUCAUUCACUCAGACCAGCAUGAGGUAAUUUGGAAAUCUCUAGAACUAAGAAAUGAGUUUUAGACUUUGUAGGUUAAGAAUUAGACCUCACAUGAUUUGUUACUUCUGCUGUGAUGGAGUAUAUCUGAAAUUUAACACUGCAAUGUGUGUGAUUUAAAGUUUUGUUGCUUCAUUUUAUGUGUGUACUUUAAUCUGUUUGUGUUAAAGCAUUACACAGGAAACCUGCUCUCCACAUAGCAUUAUCUCUACAGAUGGUAUAACCACUACAGAACAAUUCCUGGUAUUUUUACACAUUUAAAUAGAACUGCCUUAUUUAUUAGUGCAUCAUUUGCUUUCUACUCUUGUGCACAGUGUUCAGUGUGAGAAACAUUAAUUCAGUUCAACACUGAUACAAUCACACAGACCACAGAUUAUUAGAUAUGCUCUUGUCAUGUAAUGGAGUGCAAGCAAAGACUCUGAUGAAAGUGUGGCGUAAAGACAGAAUUAUUUCUUAAUAGUUCUCAAUAUAGACCUGUACAAAGCAGAAAGAAAGCAUAAUAACAUCAAAAACAUCAAAUCUCCCAAACUGUUAUUGUACAAUAAAAUAAAACUGAUUUAAAAAAACAUCCAAGUUUUUUUCUAUGCUAAUGAGACAGGAGAAGUGCAGAAAGUCACGUGACACUUCUGCAUGUCCUAAUUAGCAUAUAAUAACAACGAUGGAAUUUCAUAUUAAGUUGAAACGUAAGGAAAAAGUCACAGAUUCAGUGAAAAAGACGUGUGCAGCUGCUUAUCAAACCUACUACAAUCAAAGUAAAAUACAUAUAGGUACAGAAAUUACAAGGUGGAAGGAAUGGAAAUGCAAACUGCAGUUGAAAUCAGAUGAAAACGUGACGUCUUUGUUAUUUGACUUCAAGGUAUCCUGUUUCUGCUCACUCCCACUGUAGACUCACAUAACACUGCAUAAUAUUUUCAUUUUCUCAAAGCUGAAAGC